GGGCCCGCACAAGCGGUGGAGCAUGUGGUUUAAUUCGAUGAUACGCGAGGAACCUUACCAGGGCUUAAAUGGGAAAUGACAGGGGCAGAGACGCCCCCUUCUUCGGACAUUUUUCAAGGUGCUGCAUGGUUGUCGUCAGCUCGUGCCAUGAGGUGUCAGGUUAAGUCCUAUAACGAGCGCAACCCCUACCGUUAGUUGCCAGCGUGUAAUGACGGGGACUCUAACGGAACUGCCGGUGCAAACCGUGAGGAAGGUGGGGACGACGUCAAAUCAUCACGGCCCUUACGUCCUGGCCACACACGUGCUACAAUGGUAGGUACAGAGGGAAGCCAUUGUAGCACGUGUGUA
rnacentral:rRNA from 1 species